rnacentral:rRNA from 1 species
AGUGAACGCUGGCGGUAGGCCUAACACAUGCAAGUCGAACGGCAGCACAGUAAGAGCUUGCUCUUACGGGUGGUGAGUGGCGGACGGGUGAGGAAUACAUCGGAAUCUACUUUUUCGUGGGGGAUAACGUAGGGAAACUUACGCUAAUACCGCAUACGACCUACGGGUGAAAGCAGGGGAUCUUCGGACCUUGCGCGAUUGAAUGAGCCGAUGUCGGAUUAGCUAGUUGGCGGGGUAAAGGCCCACCAAGGCGACGAUCCGUAGCUGGUCUGAGAGGAUGAUCAGCCACACUGGAACUGAGACACGGUCCAGACUCCUACGGGAGGCAGCAGUGGGGAAUAUUGGACAAUGGGCGCAAGCCUGAUCCAGCCAUACCGCGUGGGUGAAGAAGGCCUUCGGGUUGUAAAGCCCUUUUGUUGGGAAAGAGAAGCAGCAGGUUAAUACCCCGCUGUUCUGACGGUACCCAAAGAAUAAGCACCGGCUAACUUCGUG